rnacentral:rRNA from 1 species
UGGGGAAUUUUGGACGAAUUGGGCGCAAGCCUGAUCCAGCCAUGCCGCGUGCGGGAAGAAGGCCUUCGGGUUGUAAACCGCUUUUGUCAGGGAAGAAAUCUUCUGAGUUAAUACCUCGGGAGGAUGACGGUACCUGAAGAAUAAGCACCGGCUAACUACGUGCCAGCAGCCGCGGUAAUACGUAGGGUGCAAGCGUUAAUCGGAAUUACUGGGCGUAAAGCGUGCGCAGGCGGUUUUGUAAGACAGAGGUGAAAUCCCCGGGCUCAACCUGGGAACUGCCUUUGUGACUGCAAGGCUUGAGUGCGGCAGAGGGGGAUGGAAUUCCGCGUGUAGCAGUGAAAUGCGUAGAUAUGCGGAGGAACACCGAUGGCGAAGGCAAUCCCCCUGGGCCUGCACUGACGCUCAUGCACGAAAGCGUGGGGAGCAAACAGGAUUAGAUACCCUGGUAGUCCACGCCCUAAACGAUGUCAACUGGUUGUUGGGAAGGUUCCUUCUCAGUAACGUAGCUAACGCGUGAAGUUGACCGCCUGGGGAGUACGGCCGCAAGGUUGAAACUUAAAUGAAUUGACGGGG